UCAAAUGGGACGAGCAAUUUUUAGGGC
rnacentral:sRNA from 1 species